CCGCCCUGAAACACGAAACAGUCCAUGUAGAUCGAACAGUCGAGUACGACACGUUUUGCAUGUAAAUUAAUUCGGUACGCUGGUGGUGCACUUAGAGGAUUUCCAGUAUGAAAUAUAUAAUCUGAAUAUGUUUUAUCGCUUUCAAGAUUUCCAUGAUCCGAUUGUAAUUUUGAUAAUUGGAAACAUAGAUAAUGACAUGGCUAAAAUGGCAUUCAUGGCGGGCAGCCAAAGCUGCAGCUGUCUACAAGAUAGGACCGAUUUGCCAAUUAAUUCGCGUGUUAGUGACAAGGAAUGACAUGCUAAGAGGCAGCGCCUUAUACAUGCAACAUGAUGCGUAGUUGAUAUAUAUUUUAAGCAGCACUAAGAAAAAAUUCAUUCGGUUUAUUAAUGAUAUAUUCUCAUUAAAUUAAUAGACGACGCUCGUUUCGAUCAAUAGGUAUUACAACUUUUAACCGGCAUAAAAUUACAUGCGAAAUAUUUACAAAUUUCCAUAAAAUAAUCUAAAAUUCUAUGUUAUCCAAAAAUUAAGAAAGAAAUAUAACAGUUACCUUUUUUGAAAGUCUGCAACCAUAUCUCGUCGAUCUGAGAUUUUAGAAGAACCGUCUAAUCUCAUAAAAGUAUGUUUCCUAUGAUACAUGUACUCCUGCAAUGAAGACAUGAUAUAAAAUCUUGUAAUGACUAUUUCUUCAAAGAUCCAGAUUAAGUAAAAAUACCUCUAACAAAUCGAUCAUUUUUGUCAUCUGAGAGUAAAUAAGGACUCGAUGGCCUUGUUCUUUAAGACGACGUAAAAGACUAUCCAAAACAGAAAGUUUCCCAGCAUCUGUUACUAAAGUUUGCUUAUCUAUAACAAUAUUAAAAAUAAAAAGAAUGUUGUAUUAAAAUGCAUAUGAAAAAUCUACUACAAAUCAAACAAAAUUCUUACCCGGUACUAUAAUAUUUGACCAUCCAUUUAUAGGAGUACAUGCAGA